CUCCCCACAGGACAGCUUUGGCAGAAGUCCCCUGAGUCCUCUGGGCAUGACAUAGAAUUUGUGAGGAUAGAGAUGGUGAGUCAUAUCCUGGAGACUGAAACUUUGAUUUCUGCUUUCCCUCUGUACAGGCAUGUCUAAUGGACUUGUUUCCCCUUUCCAGAAGAAGGGGGACAUGGAGGACAGCAUGACAUAGAAUUUGUGAGGAUAGAGAUGACUGACAGCUGUAUAACUCUCAUCUUAUGCUUGCCCAGUGGUACCAUUUGUGCAACGUAUCUUCUGGAAGUCUCUCAUUCUAUUUGAAGAGACCAGCUGUAAAGGCAAGAUGGUAAAUCCAUUUUCGUGCCAGUUCAUCUUUGGCUUCUCUCCAGAUUUCUAAUAUUUAGGGCUUGAUUUUGCUGGCUGCCUUCUUCGUGGAUGCACAGAGCUCCCAUUGACUUCAUUAUGAUAAGCAGAGUGAUGAUAAACUCAAAUGGUAAACAGAAGGGUUCUUCACUUCAAUGGAAAUUCUCUGCGUGUGAAGAGAUAUUGUCCAGUAAAAAAAUCAUCCAAUUUCAUAUUAAAUAAAUAAACACAAUGGUAUCUGGAAUGACAACUUGGAGUCAUUUGACAUAUGUCUAAGAUAGCAUGACAACCAGAGAUUCCACUCUCAUCAUUACGAAAUUACUGUCUGAUAAACAGACUUGAUUUCUUCACUCCUCUUAAAGAAGAGUCCUAGAUGCUCCAUCCUCCUGCUGUCAUGAAUCUUUCUGAAGAUGUGCAUAAAUAUACUGCUUUUCUUGUAAAGAUGGGCCCACCAAUAAGGCCCAUCAAAGCAAGUGAACUAUAAUAUUUUUAAUAUUUGAUAUUUUUCAUUGGUUCAAAUUUGCAUGGCCAACAAUCAAUCUGGUGUUUAGUUUCCUCCUGAGUUUCCACUGUUGCAAACUGACACAGGGAGGAUGGUGGUGGUGCUGGGUUAAGAAUUUAAGGUGCUAACUGACUAAUGUAGGCAAGCAUAAUUAAUCAUGUCAGAAAUCUUUGCAUGCAGUUUAAUUGGUUUGCAUUAUCUAUAAGAUAGUGUUUUCAUAAAAUAACAAAAUGGUUUCUGCUAAAACUGCUAAUUUAUUGCCUUCAAAAUAAGAGGCACCCAAAUGGGAAUCCAGAAGGAGUAAAACCCCCAUGCUCCUCAAAAUGAGAGCAUUUCAGAUAAAAUAGUGCUGUGUGUUUUUUUUUCAUAUGAAGACUGUUGAUUAAUAAACUUAGCUUACCUUUGGUGGCAUAAGCAAAAUGUUUCCAUUAAUUCUAUUUGUUGAAAUGAAUUUGUUUUUGGUAAAGCUUUUUGGGUUAAGUUUUUUUUUUUCCCAAUUGAGAGAAAAAAACCUGACUACCUCCUCUAUGCAAGUAUUCAAAUUUUUUAUUUUCUGCAUUCUCUCAGUCCUUGAAUUUGAGUUUGUAUUAGUGCUUAUAUUUUAUUUUAUUUUAUUUUAUUUUAUUUUAUUUUAUUUUAUUUUUUAGCACAGAGCAUCUAUGUUUUCCCAACUAAGACCUGCUUCAUUUUUAUCUUUCUUUUCCUGUAAAUUAUUUAAUCUGAAUGCCACUGGAUUUUUUACUUAUGAUCAAAAAUGUUCUGUGUAUUUCCCAGUACCCAGCAUAGUUACAUUAUGAGAAUGCACUGUUUUUAUUUUUGGAGUAUUUAGUUUCUAAAUAUGCAUUAGAAUAGUUUUUAAAAAGCAUGUUUCCCCUCAAGUGAUUUUUUUCUAUUAUUAUAAGGAGGCAUAGGUUAAAGGCUCCAUUACAUACCAAGCAGAAGAUAAGUAACACGCAGUAAGCUAUGUUUAAUUUUAUAUGAGGGAGGCUUCUAUUGACCAGGAGGGAAAUGGUGGUGAAUAAAUAUUAAGACAGAUGACAUUAAGAUUCAAAAAUUUCAAGGAAAUUUUGGUAUGAUUUUUCUCAGCUUAUAUACACAGCAGUUUUAUUCUACUAUUCAUUUUAUCCUAUGCUUCAUGCAAUAAAAUAUCAUUUAAGGAGCCAACAGGAAAAUUCAAGUGGUGCCUUACCUAUAGAUAAAAAUUAAGUAUUGUAAAGAAAAAUGGGAGAAGAACAAAAUGUUUUAGCAUUUCAACUAAUUACAUUGUCAUUUUCUUGGUAUGUUUUUUUUUUCUUUUUUCCCAUUUUGAUGCUCUGUUAUGAUAGUGUUUGAAUGACUGUUCAUUACUUCUGAGCUUUUCUUUCUGUUUUAUUAGUCAAUGUGACAUUUUAAGAAAAUUAUUAUACCAGUUGCUUUGAUGAUAAUAUCUAAAUAAAAUGUUUUAAAGUCACUGUAUGUGCUGCCUCUAACUUUGUCCUGUUUGCUCAAGAGUACCUACUGAUAGGAAAGUGCGUAGAGCACGAGAAAAAC
rnacentral:lncRNA from 1 species